rnacentral:lncRNA from 1 species
GAAGGAAAGAGAAUUGCUAUCCCUGGAAGGUAAUCUGAAUCCUCACUCCUGGAAUAGCACCAUGGGUCUCCAUUCACAGGUGCUAUGGUGUCGUUAUGAUUCCUCAUCUUCCUAGGUUACAGUGGCUCAGAUCCAGCCAUUUGUAUUUUAUUGGUCAUAUUGCCACCUGAGUAUUCUGAUGAAGACGGAAAGGAUCAUUAGGAGCCAGCACAGUGAUGCAGAGGACAAAACCCCAUGCACAAAACCCCAUGAGGCUGCCUGUGGAGAGGGUUCCUGUUGCUCAAUUCAUCUCAAGUCCAAGACACAGGUGCAAACUACAAGAGAGGAGGGACUGCUUUGUUUAAACUUCCGAGGGGAAGCAGCAAUGAGACACAGGAAGAACACCUGUCCUUGCUCAGGUCAGAUCUGCACCAGCCAUGGUUCUGUCCAUGCCAGAGACUCGAGUUGGAGGGGUAGAGGCCCCGAAGGCAGCCAGCCCUGAACUCACCCCCCAAAUCUUUCUUUUCUGGAUAGAGUUCAGUCUUGUGAUCUCCUCAUUCGCAAAAAGGAGGU